AGUCUCAAAAUGUCCAUCAGCAACCGACGGACAGAAGCCUUUAUUUCAUCUGGUAUUACUAGCUGAGGAGGAACUGAUUCCAGCGCAUACAGAAUAAUGACCCUCAAUACAGCAGCCAAGUGUAAAUUUGUCCUGUCGCCUUUCCUGACAUUCUGAUUCACAAACUUGCAUGAUGCUUUUAAAGCACAUUUGCUACAUACACUAUCUUCUUGAAUUCUGAAAUAUGUACGCAACAUCUUAGCAGAUAAAACGUUCUUCUUUGCAAUAGAAGGGCAACCAAAAAGGGCGACUUUUUUCAAGUCACUGCCAGACAACCAUUUUGCAAUCUCUUGGUGAUCUCUACCA
rnacentral:misc_RNA from 1 species